UAUUCUAUUGUAGGCUGGAAUUGUGUUUUUGUAUGUGAAGAAUGAUCCCGCAUUUAAGUAGUUUUGAUGGAGACAUCAGAGCCCUUCAUCCAGAUGAUCCUGAGCCCUCGGACUGAGUCAAACUCGGAUUGGAUCCAUUUUUUCCCACCAAGGAGAAGUUGAUGGGGACAUCAGCUAGGCCACCAUUUUAUUUGCAUAUUUAUUUUAUUUUUAUUUCUGGGCUUGUUUGUAUUUUAGGGCUUAUUUGUGUUAUUUGUGGGCUUAUUAGGAUUUAUUUUUGUGUAAGAAGGUUUUAUGCAAAUUGUGUAUUUGGGUCCUAUAUAUAGGGAACUAUUUUCAUGAUUAGGGUUUAAUGAAGUGAUUAAAAUUUUCUCCCU
rnacentral:lncRNA from 1 species